GCAGUAGCCGCGGUAAUACGGAGGGUGCAAGCGUUAAUCGGAAUUACUGGGCGUAAAGCGCACGCAGGCGGUUUAUUAAGUCAGAUGUGAAAUCUCCGAGCUUAACUUGGGAACUCCAUUUGAAACUGGCAAGCUAGAGUCUUGUAGAGGGGGGUAGAAUUCCAGGUGUAGCGGUGAAAUGCGUAGAGAUCUGGAGGAAUACCGGUGGCGAAGGCGGCCCCCUGGACAAAGACUGACGCUCAGGUGCGAAAGCGUGGGGAGCAAACAGGAUUAGAUACCCGUGUAGUCCCUGUCUCUUAUAC
rnacentral:rRNA from 1 species